GGUGCUGGCUUUCAAGUCUCCUCCAAACGCAACGGACCCGGGUCUGCCUGUCCUCCAUUAGCUAACACACCGCUAAGAAAAAGACUUGUUCUGAGAGUGAGGACUGCCCCCGGAUUUUGUAACCAGUUGCAACCACCUGAAAGCAGCUCUGGGGAAGAGGUCAUUGAAGAGUCUCUCCAGGUGGAAAGUGAAGUAAAUGAACUCUGGGGUGGUGCCUCCCAACUCUCACUUCCAGCUCUCCUGUGUUUGUAGACUCUGUGUUCCUAAACAAGGGAAAAUACAGCCACAACCUCCAAAGGACAAGUGCUUAUUCAUUCCUUUAAUUUAUCUUUAUUGAGGAUGUUCCAUGUACAGUGGAAGAAAAAUUGAAAGUGAAUAAAGGAAGCUGAAGAUGUUUAAAGAUA
rnacentral:lncRNA from 1 species